CGAUGCAGAGGAAGCGGUCAUGUUGUGUAACUUCCGCUGUUCGCCGUCUCCCCUCUUGUAACCGGUUGUUGUCACAUUUCGCUCUAACGUCCUGAUGGCUGCGAGCUUUCGGUAUCUUUACUCCGUCUCCAGGACAGGCACUUUGGCUGCAGGCCAGCUGAGGUCCUUCAGUGUGUCUGCACCGAGGACUGGGUUCAGUAAGUACCAGUUCAGUUCCAGUAAGACCAGUAGCCAUAGUUUCAUGUAUUUAUCCUCAUUUAUUGCGGGUCCUCACACAUUUUCAUGUUUUAGUGACUUACUGAGGACUGUGUGCUCAUUUCCAUUCUUCUGCUUUUCAAAGGGAUUUUUCUGUUUCUCAGUGAGUAAUAUUGCAGCCGCCCACCAGAGGGCGCUGCUGUUCAUUCUGAGGGUUACCUGAGUUUGCAACAGAAUGAUGCCAGAUGGGAGGCAUGCUAGAGUAGAAUUAGUGGAAAUAAUCCAGACCAAAGUCUUAUUUAAUAU